rnacentral:rRNA from 1 species
UACGUAGGGUGCGAGCGUUAAUCGGAAUUACUGGGCGUAAAGCGUGCGCAGGCGGUUCUCCAAGUCCGUUGUGAAAGCCCCGGGCUCAACCUGGGAAUGGCAGUGGAAACUAGGGGACUGGAAUCUGGCAGAGGGGGGUGGAAUGCCGCGUGUAGCAGUGAAAUGCGUAGAUAUAGGAAGGAACACCAGUGGCGAAGGCGACCACCUGGACUGAUACUGACACUGAGGUGCGAAAGCGUGGGGAGCAAACAGG